rnacentral:rRNA from 1 species
UACGAAGGGUGCAAGCGUUACUCGGAAUUACUGGGCGUAAAGCGUGCGUAGGUGGUUUGUUAAGUCUGUCGUGAAAGCCCCGGGCUCAACCUGGGAAUGGCGAUGGAUACUGGCUCGCUAGAGUGCGGUAGAGGAGAGUGGAAUUCCCGGUGUAGCAGUGAAAUGCGUAGAGAUCGGGAGGAACAUCAGUUGCGAAGGCGGCUCUCUGGACCAGCACUGACACUGAGGCACGAAAGCGUGGGGAGCAAACAGG